rnacentral:rRNA from 1 species
AUACGGAGGGUGCAAGCGUUAUCCGGAAUCACUGGGUUUAAAGGGUGCGUAGGCGGUUUGAUAAGUCAGAGGUGAAAGCUAGCAGCUUAACUGUUAAAUUGCCUUUGAUACUGUCAGACUUGAAUCAAGUUGAGGUAGGCGGAAUGUGACAUGUAGCGGUGAAAUGCAUAGAUAUGUCAUAGAACACCAAUUGCGUAGGCAGCUUGCUGGGCUUGAAUUGACGCUGAGGCACGAAAGCGUGGGGAUC